rnacentral:misc_RNA from 1 species
GAAGAAGCAAUAAACAUACAGGAUGAUUCCCCAUGGAGAAAUCUACAGUUGAUAUUGUCCCUUCAGAACAACUCUAUUCCUCUCCAAGAAAAAUUGGAGCUGGCAUAUAAUUAUGUGAAAUCAAGAACAGAAGGGGCUGGUGAAUGCAGGGAGGACAUUCAGACAGUAAACUUUUCAAGAGUGGUAGUUUUCUUGAAUAAUUGGGUCCAGAGGAUACUAGUUUCUUCUGAAAAGAAAAU